AACGAACGCUAGCGGCAUGCCUAACACAUGCAAGUCGAACGAACUUCGGGGUUAGUGGCGCACGGGUGCGUAACACGUGGGAAUCUGCCCUUAGGUACGGAAUAACAGUUAGAAAUGGCUGCUAAUACCGUAUGAUGACUCCGGUCCAAAGAUUUAUCGCCUAGGGAUGAGCCCGCGUCGGAUUAGCUAGUUGGUGGGGUAAAGGCCUACCAAGGCGACGAUCCUUAGCUGGUCUGAGAGGAUGAUCAGCCACACUGGGACUGAGACACGGCCCAGACUCCUAUGAGAGGCAGCAGUAGGGAAUAUUGGACAAUGGGCGAAAGCCUGAUCCAGCAAUGCCGCGUGAGUGAUGAAGGCCUUAGGGUUGUAAAGCUCUUUUACCCGAGAUGAUAAUGACAGUAUCGGGAGAAUAAGCUCCGGCUAACUCCGUGC
rnacentral:rRNA from 1 species